GGGAAGGUAGCUCAGUGGUAGAGUGCUUGCCUUGCAUGCAUCAGGUCCUGAGUUCGAUUCCUCAGCACCA
rnacentral:tRNA from 1 species